UACAGAGGGUGCAAGCGUUGUUCGGAAUUACUGGGCGUAAAGCGCGUGUAGGCGGCGGCGUAAGUCGGGUGUGAAAUCCCUCAGCUCAACUGAGGAAGUGCACUCGAUACUGUGUCGCUUGAAUGUCGGAGGGGAUGGCGGAAUUCCCGGUGUAGAGGUGAAAUUCGUAGAUAUCGAGAGGAACACCGGUGGCGAAGGCGGCCUUCUGGACAGUGACUGACGCUGAGACGCGAAAGCGUGGGGAGCAAACAGG
rnacentral:rRNA from 1 species